rnacentral:rRNA from 1 species
GUGUCAGCCGCCGCGGUAAUACGAGGGGGGCAAGCGUUGUCCGGAAUUAUUGGGCGUAAAGAGCUCGUAGGCGGGUUGAUCAGUCGGGAUUGAAAUCCCACGACUUAAUCGUGGAACUGGUUUCGAUACUGUCAAUCUUGAGUGAGGUAGAGGUAAGCGGAAUUCCUGGUGUAGCGGUGAAAUGCGUAGAUAUCAGGAGGAACACCAACGGCGAAGGCAGCUUACUGGGCCUAUACUGACGCUGAGGAGCGAAAGCGUGGGGAGCAAACAGGAUUAGAGACCCUGGUAGUCCACGCCGUAAACGAUGAGUACUUGGUGGUGGGGGAUUCGACCCCUUCGCUGCCGGAGCUAACGCGUUAAGUACUCCGCCUGGGGACUACGAUCGCAAGAUUGAAACUCAAAGAAAUUGACGG